ACACCAUGCCCCAGGAAGUGUGAUCCCUUCCCCGUUUCUACCAUGGAAGACUCGGGAAAGACUUUUGGCUCCGAGGAGGAAGAAGCGAGCUACUGGAAAGAUCUGGCAAUGACCUACAAGCAGAGGGCAGAGAAUACGCAGGAGGAACUUCGAGAAUUCCAAGAGGGAAGCCGAGAAUAUGAAGCUGAGUUGGAGACACAGCUGCAACAGAUCGAGUCCAGGAACCGGGACCUGUUGUCGGAGAACAACCGCCUUCGCUUGGAGCUGGAGACAGUCAAGGAGAAGUUUGAGCUGCAGCACUCUGAGGGCUACCGGCAGAUCUCCGCCUUAGAGGAUGACCUGGCGCAGACCAGAGCCAUUAGAGAUCAGCUGCAGAAGUACAUCCGGGAGCUGGAGCAGGCCAACGACGACCUGGAAAGAGCAAAACGAGCCACGAUCAUGUCUCUGGAAGACUUUGAGCAGCGCCUGAAUCAAGCCAUUGAGAGAAAUGCCUUCUUGGAAAGUGAACUUGAUGAGAAGGAGAACCUUCUAGAGUCCGUCCAGCGGCUGAAGGACGAAGCCAGAGAUUUGCGGCAGGAGCUGGCUGUGCAGCAGAAGCAGGAGAAGCCCAGGACGCCCAUGCCCAGCUCGGCAGAAGCUGAGAGGACGGACACAGCUGUGCAGGCCACGGGCUCCGUGCCGUCCACGCCCGUAGCACAUCGAGGACCCAGCUCCAGCCUAAACACACCGGGGACGUUCAAACGUGGUCUGGACCACUCCAACAGUGGGACCCCCCUCACACCUGCAGCCCGGAUUUCAGCCCUCAACAUUGUGGGGGACCUGCUUCGGAAAGUAGGGGCUCUGGAGUCCAAACUCGCCUCCUGCCGGAACUUCGUGUAUGACCAGUCCCCAAACCGGACAGGCGGCCCUGCCUCAGGGCGGGGGAGCAAGAACAGAGACGGCGGGGACAGACGGACCAGCAGCAGCGGCGGACCUCUGAGUGAUAAAGGGGUGUUCCUGAGGGGAAACAGCCUCCGUGGGCCUGCACCCCUCCCGGCUUGUCCUCAUGCUUGGAGGACGGCGAGGCUCAGAGGAGUAGGAGCCUCGUCCAGGAAUGAGGGACCAGGCGGGCACAGAGUGAAAGGACUGGGCCGUGGAAAAGCUGAGGGAGCCCUUGACAGUGGGUCUGUCCCCUGGGAAGCUCAGGUGAGCGCUGUUGUCACCUCCUGAGAGCCAUUCCCUCCUCCCCCCGGCCCCCUACCUGCCCGACACGCUGCUGGCCAGCUCCUCGGCCAGCUCCUCCUUCUCCAGGUCUGCCUGCUUGCGGGCCCUCUCGGCUGCUGCCAGAUCCUGCAGGACAGCAGGGAGGAAAGGGGCUGUCUCCAGGACGCCCCCACUACACAUCCCCUGUGCUCCCGUCCCCCAGCUCUCCCCAGUCUCCUGAAGUGCCACGUUCUCCCCCUGAGCUCAGGGAGGCCCCAGACAGCAGGAGCGAGAAUUCCUCUUCCUGUGCUCUUGCUAUGGGGGCCCAUGCACGGGGAGGUGUGGGGCAAGGGAAGGAGGUCCCAGGGCACACAGGCCCGGGGUGGCCCUGCCUGCCAUCCAGGAGGGGACGCUACCUCCUGGAGCUGCAUGAGGUCGGCCUCUAAGCUCUUGGCCUUCUUCUCAUUCUCUUUGGCCGUGGCAAAGAUCUCGUCUCUGGAGGUGCGGGCGUCUUCCAGCUCUCUCUGGAAGUCCUUCAUCUGAGCCUGGGUAAGCAACAGAAGCACAGGCCCAGAGGUCCUUACUCACUUCUCCAAGCCAGGUCCUUGGGGCAUGGCCCUGCCCUCAUCCUCAGGGCACUGUGCUGUCCCGAGGAGCCGAGCGCCUGGUGUGAGCUGAGCGGUGGCCAAUACCUGUCAAGGGCCCCCUUCCCCCCCACCCGUGCCCUUCACUCUGCGUGUCACCCACCUGCAGUUUUCGAAGCUGCUUGAUGGCUUCCUCCCGUCCCUUGAUGGCCGAGUCGGCCUGCAGCUCCAGGUCCUUCAGGUCCCCUUCCAGCUUCUUCUUGGCGGCGGCUGCCAGGGCGCGCUGCUUCCGCUCGUCUUCCAGUUCCGUCUCGUAUUCGUGAAGCUGAACGAGGAGGGAGCAGCGUGGUGAGGCUGUCCCUGCAGGAUGCCACCUACCCACUUGGGGAUGCCCUGUGCUCCCCCAUGCCGCAGCCCCUUCCCAGCACCACCACUGCCCAGGUUGCCAAUGGGAAUACAGUGCCCAGAGGCCUAUUCAGGUGACGGCAGGGGCGCAACAGGCUGCCCACUCCCCGUCCUGCCCUCCCUGCGACGGGGCUCACCUGCCGCUGCAGCUGGCGCCGCUUCUCCUCGUUCUGCUCAUCCCGGGCUUGGAGGUCCCGCUCGAACUGGCCCUUGAGCGCCUGCAUGUUGACCUCCAGCCGCAGCUUGGCGUCCUCUGUGGCCUGCAGCUCGUCCUCCAGCUCCUCCAGCUGCAUCUUCAUCUCCUCCAUCUGGGUCUCCAGGGCGCGCUUGGACUUCUCCAGCUCAUGGACCUGCCAAGCGACCCCCCCACUGCAGUGAGGCUACACCUCCGAAGAGCCCAGCGCCUCAGUCCAGAGUGUGUCCCUGGCCCCCCGCAGGAUGCACGACCAGGGACCCAGAUGCCCGCUGAGAGCUCGGCCCCAGCUCCCCACUCCGUGCACCACCCCGAGGACCGCCUUCCAGUCCCGAUGGCGGAUCAACGUGGGGACAGGCGACAGCCACGAGCCACUUACAUUCUUGCCUACGUCGUCCUUGGAGCUGACCAGGUCUUCCAUCUCGGCUUUGAGCAUUUUGUUGGUUCUCUCAAGCUCCUCUUUGGCUUCCAGGGCUUCCUCGAGGGCCCGGGCCAGAGACAAGGCCUUGGUUUCCUUCUCCCUGGCUUCUGCCUCGGCCCGGUCCCUCUCGUCGGCAUAUUUGGAAGAGAUGUUCUUCUCCUCGGCUAACAACUGCAACACAAGAGAAGGCUCAUGGGCGCCCGGUCCCCACCAUGGUGUAGCUGGGGUGCAGCUUCAGUGAGCCCAGCUCUAAGCCAGGAGCCAGAUCAGCUGCCCACGUGGGCAGAACAUCCCAGCUACGGAGGCCAGGGUGACACUGAGGCCCGUUCAUCUGCUGUUUGGGCAUUACCAUCUAUAACACCCAAAGUCAGUGACCAGGACCUCCAGACAGCACAGUCAACACAAUGACCCUGCACCAUAGGUGAUGGCCAACAGAAAAAGCAAGCUGAUCCCUCCAGGUUCCCUGGGACAGGGAAGAAUCGGGAUGUUGCAUAGAAGCCAAGCACCCCUCUGGCAGUUGGCCCCAGUGGUUGGACACCAGCUGCCGCUGGUUGUCCAAGUCCACCACCAGGUCGUCCAGCUCCUGCUGAAGCCGGCUCCGGGUCUUCUCCAGUUUGUCGUGAGCGGCCGCCUUCUCCUCGUACUGCUGGGUGAGGCCCUCGAGCUCCUUCUGGAGCCGCCUCUUCCCCUCCUCCAUGGCUUCCACGGUGCUGGCGAAGUCCUGGAGCUUCUUCUUGGAGUCGGAAAGCUGAAACGGCAGCACCCGGCCGGGGUGAGAGGAGAGCGGCCCUGGGGAGCGGGGCCACGCCAGGCUCGGCCAGGGAGGAGCCCCGGGCGCCCACCUGGAUGUUCAGGGUGGAGAUGUGGCGCUCCAGGUUCUGCUUGGCCUCCAUCUCCUCGUCCAGCUGGUCUUGGAGGCUGUCCCUCUCACCCUCCAGCUGGCGCAGCUUGGUGGACACACUGAGCUUCUGCCGGGUCUCCUCCUGCAGCAGCUCCUACGGAAAGCACGCACGGAGGUCCCAGGAUCCACCCAGGAGGGCCACACCCCUGUCCCCCGGACGAUGCAGCGGGGCACUCACCUGGGUGUCCUGGAGCUGCGACCCCAGGGAUGCCACGUCCUUGGCUAGCUUGAUGGCCUUGCCCUCUGCCUCAUUGAGCAUGCUGGUGACACUCUCCACCUCAUUCUGCGGUGGCAGGAGACUGGUUAGUGGGGCUCUAGAACACCAUGUCACGCACCCUCACAGGAUGCGACCGACUCAUGGCGUCCACUGAGAAAACAUCUGCAGGGUCUGGGUGACUGUCUCUAAGUCCCUGUCCCUAGACUGUGGUUCUAGAGUCUGUUGGACUCUAACCUCCCGACUGGGCCCUGGUCCCCUGCCCAAGUUGGCAAGGGUGAAGCAGGCCCCAAGGUCCAGGGCUGAGAGGUGCUCCCUAGAGCGGGGGAGGAGACUGUGGAGGACACGUGACCGUCCCCACCCUCUCCUUCUGUUAGCUCUUUUAGCUACAACCAAAGACACCCUAAAGGUGAAGGGCCUGCUGUCCCUGAGCAGGGCCUCUGGAGGUGUGCGCCUGCCUCUUCCCGUUUACAGCGAGGCUGUGACUGACCUUGACGCUAAUCUUCCAGGACCUCGCUCGUAUUAGGAUAUCAAGAGCCCUGCUCUCAAAUGCAGGUGGGGAAAGAAACCCGUGCUGCCCUGGCCCAGGCCUUAGUACAUUAAAUAUCCAUCUAGUUUCUGGCCAGUCAUGAAAAAUGGAAAUUCGGGCUCAGUGUGUCUUCAAAGCUAAUUAAAACCCAAGACGGGCCGAGCCAUUUGUCAGCUUCGUGCCCUUCAAUGGCUUCCCAUCGCUUGGAAUAACAACAUCCAUUGAAUGUCCCUGCAGGCCCUGUGUCAUCCAGCCACAGCCUCCUUCUCUGUACUGUGCCUCUCCUCUGCUUCUCCACUUACCACAGGGCCUUUGUGCAUGCCGUCCCUCUGCCUAGCAGACUUCUACGGGUCAUUUCACAGUCCUCCUGAGGGAGGCCUGGCCCAGCCUUCUUGCCACUUACUCCAUUGCGUGCCUCCCCUUCCAGCUCCAUCUGUGUGAUCGCUGGUGUCCUCCCACCCCACCAGGCUGGAGCGUACUGGGCAGGGACAGUGUCUGUCAUCUUCCUUGAUCUCGAGUCUCGGGAUCAAGCACCGUGCUUGGCCCAGAGCAGAUGCCAAUGCACGCCCAUCGGCUGAGCUGAGCAGGGAGCUGUCCCUCCCAGGGGCAGUGUCACUGGAGGGACCGUGGUGGCUGGCCAGGCCUGCCUUGGCCUGCGGCGCCGCUCACCUGCAGCUUGUGGGCCUUGUCGUUGAGCUCGGCCCGCGCCCGCUCGCCGUCGCUGCACUUGGACUGCAGCUCCUGCACCUGCCCCUCCAGCUUCUUCUUCCUGUGCUCCAGCUCCUGCUUCGCCUGGCCCAGCACCCGCAGCUCGCCGGCCAGGUCCGCGUUCUCUUUCUCCAGCGUCUGCUUGCUCUUGUCCAGGUUGGCCUUGGCCUGCGGGGGCCGGGAGGUGAGAGGCCGCCUCCUCCCCGCUCCCCAGGAGGGCCCCGGACCGUGCCAUCACGGAGCAUGGGGCAAGGGGAGCGCAGAGUCACCAGGGAGGCUGGGGGAUGCUGUGUCCUAAGCCGUGGAGCUGGCACACGGGGGUCCCACAGCCACCUCCAACCUGCGGUCACGUCCACUGCCCCAUUCAGGACUUCCAAAAGGGAGGAGUUGCCAAGGUUUAAAUAAAUUUUAUAUGAAAGUCUGGA